rnacentral:rRNA from 1 species
UGAGGGAAAGUUGCAAAGCACUUUGAAGAGAGAGUUAAAGAGGACGUGAAACCGAUAAGAUGGAAACGGAUAGAGCUAGCGUAUCUAGCUUGUAUUCAGCUGCUCUCGCCAUGGGUAGCUUGUCUUCCAAUCCAGAUUCUGGUUGGUUGGCUUGUGUCACUUGUGUGUGAGCAGUGCACUUGCAAGUGGAGUGCGCUGAGGCGUAUGGAUUGGCGGUUUGAAGUGCGCUCUGAGGAUACCUUUGUGUAAAACCCAGGCGUACCUAGAGCUGUUCGGUCUGUAUGUAAAGAGCAUGGCUUGACGGGCUGGGAUUCUGCCGAGUGAGUCAUUGGUAACGGUCGCAUGCGACACGUGCCAUUUGCUUGCUCGGUUGGGUUCUGGUUCACUUGCUCACCCUCGGUGUAAAAGCUAGUCAUCUAUCCGACCCGUCUUGAAACACGGACCAAGGAGUUUAGCGUAUACGCGAGUCAUUGAGUGAAAAACUUAAAGGCGUAAUGAAAGUGAAUGCUUCUUCUGAAGCUGAUAUGUGACCCUGUGCACUUCGGUGCCCAGGAGCAGCAUAGCCCCGUCCUAAUCGCUUGCGAUGGGGCGGAGGUAGAGCGUAUUCGCUGAGACCCGAAAGAUGGUGAACUAUUCCUGAGCAGGAUGAAGCCAGUGGAAACUCUGGUGGAAGUCCGAAGCGGUUCUGACGUGCAAAUCGAUCGUCUGACU